GACUGGUGGUGGCCCAGGAUGCAGUGAGUGACCUUGGCCUUUCUAAAUUAAGGUCUUUCCCAGGUCUCAGCUUGUCCAAGGCAAGGCCUAUUCAAUGAUUAAGGGCUCGGAUUCUGUUUGGUGUUUUUUUUGGAUCUGUUUAGAAGAGUGCGUGGAGGGGAGCCCACCAAGUACUUUCUAUCACUCCACCAUCUUGACUCUGCCUCUUCUGGUCUCUUCUAGUCUGUGUUUGGACAUGAAAUCUUUCCUUAUGCAAAGAUCUGAAAGGGGGCUGAUUGAUUCUUCUAUAUGGAUUCCCACAUGGUGCUAGAUUUUAAAAGGGGAAAUGGAAAAGAGUACCAAAGACAGAUGUCAUCCUGCCUACUUCACAUUUAUCCCCAAACUUCUU